GGUUGAUCCUGCCAGUAGUCAUAUGCUUGUUUUUGAGGCUAAGCCAUGCAAGUGUAAGUUCAUCUGUACAUAGUGAAACUGCAAACAGCUCAUUAAAAUUGUUGUUAUUGAUUUGGCAGGCGAGUAAAUGGAUAUCCAUGGUAAUUCUGUGGCUAAUACAUGCAGGCUCGAGACGAGCACACAUGCUAGCUUUGAAACCAAUUAGUGAUGGUCUGAACAAUGUGUCGAUUGAUACAACAUGCCAAAUAAACUUCAAACCUAUCAGCUCGUCAGUAUACUAGCGGUUUACUGAG
rnacentral:rRNA from 1 species